CCCCAUGGGUGUUUCGUUCCAAGUCAUUAACAAAGAAGAACUCGUGUUGGGAGGCGGCCGUCGAGCUGGCAACCUCUUUCUCAUCCUCCUCAAGGAACCCCGAGGGAUCCCAACCGGACGGAGUUCGUCCAUCUCAAGGAAGAGGAGAGAGAGAGCGAGAGAGAAGUGGAAAGAUGUGUCCCCUGAGAGUGCUGCUCAUCCUUCUGUCAGCAACCUUGGCUGGUUUCUUCGUGCUGAGAAACCUCAAGUCCCCGCCGGAACUCAACGAAGAGCGCCAGGAAGAAGACUCCCCAGAAGAACCCCUUUCCCUUACCACCAAAGUUGGAUCGGCCAUCAGCACAGGGUUCUGGACCUGCGUCGACAUGGCUAGUGGGAGGUACUUGUGGAGGACUCUGAUGACCCCAUCUGCGGCCGGCAAGGAGAAGAAGGCUUGCUGAUCUGUCUGUGGGAAGAGCAAAUCUGGCAUACAACAAUGUGAUAUUGGUCCCAAACAAUUCCUUAUUUACAAUCACAGGUAAUACUCAAUAUUCCAUAAGUUGGUAAUUUAUUUAGACAGUGUUUGAAGUAUUAUGCAAUUUGUCUCUAUUGUCUUAAUGUUUGACGGUAUACCAGGUAGAUUUCUGGAUUAAUCCAGAUUAUACUCGAUAAAAUUUUCUGACUGUCAAUCCUUGAGCUAGCAAAUUACCUAAGUGUCUCUUCAUGCAAUUUUCGUCUCAUCACCUGAUGUACUUUCGAGUUUCAGCUGUAAAACAAAGAGUAUCGCAUGAAAGCAAACUCAUACCGGAGCAUGCCAUUUGGCACCUUUUCUGUUUUCUUUUCUUAAGCAAGAAGGAGAUACAGAUCGGAGCAGAACAGGGUCAUUGAUGUUCCUUUUGAUUUGUAACUCUCAAAACUAUCUACCAUAUAUUGAGAAUUCUGGAAGCCAAAAGUUCGCUUCCAGAUAUUGAGAAACAAAGAAAAGAAAAAAAGAGGCCAUUUUAUGUUGCAUAAACUUUUGAAGCUAAAAUGAAGGACGAUUGAUCUGGGCUUUGACCGAGUAGUGGUGGCUUCAUGGUGGGUCCUCUUGCCUGGUGAAUAACCCAUGUUUAUCUACCAAGCUUGCAUGUUUAUCAAUACGAUUGUUCAGUCGCUUUCGGUGAACAGAUUGAUUAGUUGCAGGCACCUGUGGAUCCCUUAUGUAGCUGUUCUCUGCUGCACAUAUUCAGGUAUAACUACAACCGAGUGAGCGGAAAUUAUCUGCUUCUGCACAAUUAUAACUGAUUGAGUUGAAAUUAUUUGCAAGCAUAAUAAUAUGAGCUGCAUCUGCACAUACCAAGCGUUCGACCUCUUUCAUCUUAAAGAUUCUUGUCUUGGCAUGAAGAGAAAGAGCUUUACCCUCGAAAUGAUUCAGCUUACAAUCUCUUUUUAUCUUAGAGAUUCUUGCAGACUCUCUUGAAGAUACUUACUGUGGGUGUACCAUUCUGCUGGUUCAAGCAUUAUCUCAAACAGGAUGGCAAAUGUCACAGGAUUUCACGAGUGUCAAGUGACAUGGAGAUCACCAUCAAAGGAAGACUGCAUGAAUCUCAUGGAUAUAUAUAUCUUGGAGAUUUGAGAUCGGUGAAGGUAGAGUCAAACUCGAGUAUGAUACCACAACCAGUGCAAGAUAUAUGUGCUUUCAACUCAUAAGCAUUUGAGGUAUGAAAUUUAGGCCCUUGGAUCAGUCAUCUCUGCACAUAAUUGCAUCUUCUGUACACUCUUCCUUGGGGAUUAUGUAUUUAAUUAGAAAAAGCUGCUGCACAUGCAUUUGAUCUGCU